CGCAACGGGGAAUACGGAACGGAGCAUGCGCUGAAAUGGGCGAUGGCUGAGAAUAUUUGAAGUGAAUCCACAGACAGGAAACUCCAACCAAACAUCACACAAGAAUCUGACAGAGUCAGUUGAAUCAUCAGACAUUGGGUAUAAUUGGCCUUUGGGUGAUGUGGGCAUCACUGGCCAGGCCAGGAUUCAUUACUCAUUCCUAUUUGACCAGAGGGCAAUGGAGAGUCAACCACAUUACUCAUAUGACAUGAAGUCAUAUGUAGGCCAGACCAGAUCUCCAACCUGGCAUAUCCACAAGAGAUGUGAUCCUGACAGUGAAUCUCGGAUCAUUCCCGAUGUAAACUUCACCACUGACUCCACUGAAGGUUGCAGGCUCAGGGAGUGGACUGUGAGGAAGCUCUUCAGUAUCCUGAUUUAUAUCUGGUGAGAAACCGUAGGAAUUCUUACUUAGGAACUUCUCUGUCAGUGUCGCUCUCGUAAUGAAAAGGGGAAAAGUUUCUUCCGGUUUACCACCUUUGUGACCUUCAUAUUUUUAUCCACCACAAUCAUGUGAUCCGUUAGUAUCUUCUGUUCCAAGAAAAUCAACACCAAUCUAUCCAAUCUGUAUUCAUAACAAAACCUCUCCAGUCCAGGCAACAUUCUGAGAAAUCUCCUCUGCAGUCAUAUGUGUACUGCAGAACUGCACACAAUACUCUCAAUGUGGCUUAACCAAUAUUUCAUGCGGUUCCAACAUAACCUUCUUGCUUUUAAAAUCUGUGCCUCAACUAAUAAAGGCAAGUAUCCAAUGUGCCUUUUUCACCACUUUCAUCUACCUGCUACUUUAAGGGAACAAUGGAUAUGCACAGCAAGGUCUCUCUAAGCCUUGGUGCCUCCCAGUCUUACUGCCCAUCUGGUAUUCUCCUGCCCAAGAACAUCACCUCAUAUUUAUGGGGAUUUUUGAAUUCCAGUUCCGCUGAUCAGCCCUUCUGACCAAAUGAUCUAUACUCCUGAAAGAAGGGUCUCGACCUGAAACGUCAAACUUCCCUGCUCCUCUGAUGCUGCUUGGCCUGCUGUGUUCAUCCAGCUUUACACCGUCUAUCUCAGGUUCUCCAGCAUCGGCAAUUCCCACUAUCUGAUGUAUACCCCUCUCUGAUUUAAGGCUGUGCUGCUCAUUUACCACUACACCAUUUCCGUAUCAUGUACAAACUUACUGAUUAACCCUCUCAUAUUAAAUUUUAAAUUGUUUAUAUAUGCUUUACAUUGCAAGGGCUUCAGUACUGAUCCCUGCAGAGCCUCAAUGGGUACAGGCAUUCAGUCAUCGUCCUCUGCUUCCUGCCACUUGGGCAUCGUGGAUUUAAUCUGACAAAUGUCCUUGUAUCAUUUGGAAUCUUACCUUCACUAUCAGUGUCUCGUGCAGGAUCUGAUUAAAAGAUUUGCUGAGGUUCAAGUAGACUACAUCAAAUGCAUUACUGUUGUCUACAUACAGAACCAAGGUAAGCAAAGAUAAGCUCAGUGGGGAUGGAACAGGUAGAGACAAUGGGUCAGCUGGGACAGUCACAUUAUGGAACAAUGAGGUUGAAGGCUACGAUAGCCUUACCAGUCCCCACUACUGGUACCCUUAUUGGAUGAGCCAAACUGGUCCGUACCCUAAACAACUUCAUCUUUAACUCCUCCCACCUCCUACAGACUAAGGGGCUGGCCAUGGGAACCUGCAUGGGCCCAAGCUAUGCCUAACUCUUUGCAGGAUACAUAGAACAGCCCCUCUUCCGUUGCUACACUGGCAUUAACUCCCACCUCUUCCUCUAUUACAUCGAUGCAUGCAUCAACGCUUCCUUGUGCACCCGUGAGGAGCUUGAACAGUUCAUCAACUUUACUAACACCUUUUACACCGACCUUAAGUUCACCUGGGCCUUCUCUGAUACUUUUCUCUUCUUACUAGAACUCCAUGUCUCAAUCUCUGGUAACCACCUUGAAACUGACAUCUAUUUCAAGCCCGCUGACUCUUACCAGAGUACACCUGACUACCAGACUACACCUCCUGUCACCCACCUUCCUGCAAGAAUGCAAUCCCCUGCAUUUCCUCUGUCUCCUCUGCAUCUGCUCCCAAAAUGGGGCUUUCCACUCCCGAACAUCCCAGCUAUCCUCUUAUUUCAAGGACCACAACUCCACCAACACCGCCCCCCCCACCAACUUCAGUGUUCGAAAAUGCUCUUGGCCGCAUCUCUUGCAUUUCCCGCACCUCUGCCUUCGCAUCCCCUCCUAACAAUAACAAAGACAGAAUCCCCCUUUUCCUCAUACAUCACCCCUACUAAUCUCCGUAUUCAAUAUAACAUUCUCUGCCACUUCUGCCACCUACAGUCUGACCCCACAACAAAAGAUAUACUUCCAUCUCCAUCCCAUCCCUAUCUCCAUUUCCUCAGGACUGCUCUCUCUGCGACUCCCUCAUCCACUCCACCUUCCCCAUGAGCUACACCAACCAAGGCACCUUUCGCUUAACCGCAGGAAGGGCUACACCUGCACCUACAUCUCCCCCACCCAAC